AGCAAGCACACUGGGAGGAAGUGGACUCUGAAGAGCAAGCACACUGGGAGGAAGUGCACUCUGAAGAGAAAGUACAGUGAGAGGAAGUACACUCUGAAGAGGAAGCACACUGGGAGGAAGUGCAUGCUGAAGAGCAAGCACACUGGGAGGAAGUGCACUCUGAAGAGCAAGCACACUGGGAGGAAGUGCACUCUGAAGAGGAAGAACACUAUGGCAGGAAGUGCUCUUAUAAGAGCAAGCACAC
rnacentral:lncRNA from 1 species